UACCUCUGAUUUGUGGAAGAGACUGAUAAGCUCGGGAUAGCGCGUGUUGUCAUCAGCUUCAUCUCUUGUUCCUACAAGAUGGGAGUUAAAUAACGACACAAUAUUU